rnacentral:sRNA from 1 species
GCGUUUAUAUGUCUAUCGAUAUGCAAAGACAAAACAUAUGUUGUAAAAGCAUAUGGUGCGAAAAGUGAAGUGCAUUAAUUGCAAAAUUGCAACUGGAAACAGCUUACUACCAAGUACAAGAGAGUAUGUGCACUACAAGGCAGAGAUGUGUGUGAAAGCAAGCUAACUGCAAGUAUAUCAUCCAGUGGUACAAGAAGAAGUAGCUGAGAAGACUCCGCGUCCCAAACAUCGAGUAGUGCCGCUAGUUUAGUUAAGUGCGUUUGUGUUGAUAUUAGUCAGUGCACUGUAGUAUUUGUUUCUGUUUGUAUGCCUUGAC